UUCCGGCGCACCCAGUUAGAGCUCCUGCUCUGGGCCACUGAGACCAAAGAGAAAUGGUGUCAGCUGUGAGAAACUUGGCUUAUCCUGGAAGCCCCAAGAGACGCAGCUCUGCUGAUGCAGCUAGACACAGCUCCGAAGACACCACAGGAAGCUUUGGAAGCACAAUAUACUUUGUGAAGAAAUUUGAAAACUUCAGUGCUACUUAGCAAGUUUCUUGGCAUUAGCAGUUAUCCAGGGACUCCCAGCGGGUAUCUACCCAGCUGGAGAAAGAAAUAUUCCAACAGGAAGGAAGAAACUCUCCAAUCUCACUGCAGGCCUGGAUAUUUGGAAAGAUCUCAUCACCAGACAGGGUGAAGGACACUGGACUUUGACUUUUGGACUCACAUAGCCAAUGGCUUGCUUGGCGUCUUCACAAAGAUAUCUAACAAGCAUCUCAACCCUAACAGAACUCUCGGUUCCUUCCCUCUCAUCCCCAACAUACGCCCCCACUAAUGUUCCCCAUUUCAAUAAAAUAAAUGGUUUUGGCUUAAGCCAAAAGCCUAGACUCCUCCUCGAUUCCUCUCUUUCUCACAUCUCCACAGCCAACCUAUCGGCAAGACCUUCUGGCUCAGCCAUCACAAGCAUCCCGAGACCCUAGGCGACCUGGCUGCUGUCUACCUCUCCCACAAUGAGCUUCUCUUCCUUCAGGUAAGAACUGGAAUGUUACAUGACCCUGUUCAAUUUCAUCAGUGUACUUAGAAGAAUCAGCCAUUUUAAUACUCGUUCAUUUGUGUUUGUUGUCACGCCUCCCUCAUUUGAUGAGGGUGG
rnacentral:lncRNA from 10 species